rnacentral:rRNA from 1 species
AUGGCAAGCCAUGCACUUCCUUCAGAGAGGCAUGUGAGCAUAGGCCUCAUUGAGCAUGACAGGACACUGGAUGAUUGCAUGACGGAGGCAACAACAUUUCAAAUGCCUUCUGCUCUUAGACGGUUGUUUGCGACUAUACUGGUAUUCUGUGAGGCAACACAAAUCCGUCAAUUGUGGGACAAACAUCUACCAUCGAUGGCUAAAGAUUACCGCCACACUGAGUCGAACGAGGCAACACUUGAGCAGAUGGUCCUUAGAGAUGUCAGGGAUCUGGUGCAAUCCAUGGGUAAGGAUAUUAAAAUGUAUGGACUUCCAGAUCUGGUUGACACAGAUGGUUCUUCUGACGCCGAGUAUAGAGAGGUAACAGAGGAGAGACAAGUUAGAGUUGACCAAGAGCAUCUACAUCUACUUAGUUGUUUGAAUAGUGAACAACUGGAUGGUUUCAACGACAUAAUGGAUCAUGUGACGAACCAAAAAAGCCAGAUAUUUUUUUUGAUGGUCCAGGAGGCAUUGGGAAGACGUACCUGUACAAGGCGUCCUUGA